CAGGCCUAACCAUGCAAGUCUAGGAGAACAGAAAUCUUCGGAUUUCUUAGUAAACUGGCAACGGGUGAGUAACGCGUAAACAAUUUACCCUCAAGAGGGGAAUAACAUUCGAAAGAAAUGCUAAUACCGCAUGAUGUCUUACUUACGCAUGUAAGUUGAUUAAAGAUUACGCUUGAGGAGAAGUUUGCGUCCUAUUAGUUUGUUGGAGGGUAACGGCCUACCAAGACAAUGAUGGGUAGCUGGUCUGAGAGGAUGUCAGCCACACUGGCACUGAGACACGGGCCUGACUCCUACGGGAGGCAGCGUGAGGAAUAUUGGGCAAUGGGUGAAAGCCUGACCCAGCAACACCAUGUGGUGAUGAAGCUCUAAGGAGUGUAAAACCCUGUUAGGAGGGAAGAAUAGCUGUUUUUAACAGAUAUGACGGUACCUCCAGAGAAAGCUCCGGCUAAUUCGUGCCAGCAGCCGCGGUAAU
rnacentral:rRNA from 1 species